GCGUCGGUGGUUCAGUGGUAGAAUACUCGCCUGCCACGCGGGUGACCCGGGUUCGAUUCCCGGCCGAUGCG
rnacentral:tRNA from 1 species